rnacentral:sRNA from 1 species
UGAUCUGCCCGUAGCCACAAGAGGGACA